rnacentral:rRNA from 1 species
GUGGGGAAUCUUAGACAAUGGGCGCAAGCCUGAUCUAGCCAUGCCGCGUGAGUGAUGAAGGCCCUAGGGUUGUAAAGCUCUUUCAGCUGGGAAGAUAAUGACGGUACCAGCAGAAGAAGCCCCGGCUAACUCCGUGCCAGCAGCCGCGGUAAUACGGAGGGGGCUAGCGUUGUUCGGAAUUACUGGGCGUAAAGCGCGCGUAGGCGGACUGAAAAGUUGGGGGUGAAAUCCCGGGGCUCAACCUCGGAACUGCCUUCAAAACUAUCAGUCUGGAGUUCGAGAGAGGUGAGUGGAAUUCCGAGUGUAGAGGUGAAAUUCGUAGAUAUUCGGAGGAACACCAGUGGCGAAGGCGGCUCACUGGCUCGAUACUGACGCUGAGGUGCGAAAGCGUGGGGUGCAAACAGGAUUAGAAACCCUAGUAGUCC